rnacentral:rRNA from 1 species
UACGGGGGGGGCAAGCGUUGUUCGGAAUUACUGGGCGUAAAGGGCGCGUAGGCGGCUCAAUCAGUCGGGCGUGAAAGCUCUGGGCUUAACCCAGAAAGGUCGUUCGAUACUGUUGGGCUAGAGUGUGGAAGAGGCUACUGGAAUUCCGUGUGUAGCGGUGAAAUGCGUAGAUAUCUGGAGGAACACCGAUGGCGAAGGCAGCUCGCUGGGACGUUACUGACACUGAGGCGCGAAAGCGUGGGGAGCGAACAGG